CAGGUAGAACUGAACAGCCCCGCCCGCUGCAGAGAACCGACAGGAUUGAAACGGCAGCAGCUUUCAGCGACUUUAGAGUGAAAAAUCAUUACAGCAUACAUUGACAAAAUAUAUAGAGAUUGGCAGGAC